GUGGGGAAUUUUGGACAAUGGGCGCAAGCCUGAUCCAGCAAUGCCGCGUGCAGGAAGAAGGCCUUCGGGUUGUAAACUGCUUUUGUACGGAACGAAACGGUCCGGGCUAAUACCCUGGGCUAAUGACGGUACCGUAAGAAUAAGCACCGGCUAACUACGUGCCAGCAGCCGCGGUAAUACGUAGGGUGCAAGCGUUAAUCGGAAUUACUGGGCGUAAAGCGUGCGCAGGCGGUUUUGUAAGACAGGCGUGAAAUCCCCGGGCUCAACCUGGGAAUUGCGCUUGUGACUGCAAGGCUGGAGUGCGGCAGAGGGGGAUGGAAUUCCGCGUGUAGCAGUGAAAUGCGUAGAUAUGCGGAGGAACACCGAUGGCGAAGGCAAUCCCCUGGGCCUGCACUGACGCUCAUGCACGAAAGCGUGGGGAGCAAACAGGAUUAGAAACCCUGGUAGUCC
rnacentral:rRNA from 1 species